AGUGGCAACAGCAACAAACCCAAUCCAAUUUGAUUCUUUCGUCUCUUCAGUUUUACUUGAAGCUGCAUACACAUAUUUGGUGAUUUCAUAUGGGUUUUUGUCGAGCCCAACCCUUGUGAAGAGGUUCUUUUUGGAGUAUCGACUUGUUCCUCUGUAUUUUGAAACUUUCUCAUUAUUGAAUGAGUCGCAGAUGGCUUGAGGCAUUUGGCCAUAGUGAAUAAGGUAUCGUCGGAGAUCAUAAUCCAAAGGGUCAAGUAAGCCUUCCCAGUUAUUUUUUCCACUCAAAAUCUCCCAUCUUUCAGCUAUGCUGUUGUCUCUAUUUUCGAUCCCUUUUUUCUUUAUCAAACAACUACUGAUUUUUCUACUUACAACCUCCCAUCCUCUGUUAAUGCAUCCCAUCUUUCUUAUGAUUCAAUACUGGAGUAUUGUUUUUUUUCUUUUUUAGAUCUGCGGAAAAAUGUGGCAAUUUAAUACUCUCACCAUGAGUGAUAAGUGGAUACUAUAAUCAAAAAUAGCAGGUCUGAGUCUCGCCACGAUUCUCCAAAAUUAUAUUCUCAUUACCCCCACCAUACACCUCUUUCAAUCAAUACGGUGCUGAUAUUUCGUAAUGUUAGGUUAAAAUUUAAUGUUGAUUUUGAUCGUCACCUAAAAAAAUUUUAUUAUAGCAUAUUAUUAAAUUUAUUAUCAAAAUACCUUAAGAGAGUGUUAUCUUAUGUAAUGACUAAUUUAAUUUUUAAGUGCAUCUUUCCUCUUCUAUUUCUUUAUUCCUUCUUUGUAUCAUUUCUAACUCUAUUUUUAGGGGCCCUCCAUUUAUAUGAGGAAAAAUAGACCGACACAUCACUCAGGUGUGAGCAUAUAUGGCUGCCAUAAAAACUCCAAAAAGAAAAACCAUGAUCACGUCUCCCUCCAUAUAUAUAUAUAUAUCCAGGAUCUACUUUCUUGAAUAAGAAUCUACUAAUACUGGUAAAUUAUUAGAUCCAUUGACACAUCACUCUUUAUUAAUGUGUAUAUUUAUUACCACAAAAAGCCUUUUUUGUUAUAAUGUAUACUUCAACAAGACAUACCAGAAUUUAUCAUAAUUAAUAUUUAUUGAUAUUAUCAUACAUUGCGAGUUUUUUAUCUAUUUAUUUUUUGUACAUCGCGAGUUCUAAUACUAGUGAAGGUAGAAAAAAAAACGUCCUUGUAAAAGAAUUAAAAAUCAUUAUCUUCAUCUUCAUGAUCCAUAAGAAUCCAGGAUCCAUUUUGUUGUUGAACCAUCCCUUUGUUCUCCACAACCCACCACGAAACAGGUACACCAUAUUCAUCUUUUAACGUGUCCAUAUGCUUGUUAACAAGUGAGAUAUCGCGUUCCACUUCUAGCUUGAACCCUUCUUUUGAUCCUUGUGUUCCAGCAACUCCAUGCAAGUAACAUUCCAAGUUAUGCCAUGUCCAAUAGUCUCCACCACUUUUUAGAUAGUCCGAUUUUCUAGUGUCCAUAAUUAAUUCAACACCAACAUCUGAGUAGCCAAUAAACGGAUAAUGUGGAAUUAUAUCUGGUAUAUUUCGGACUCUCAGAGCUCGAAGCUGAUUUUCAAGUUCUGAGAAGGUCUUAUUGAAAUUUUCAUCUCCCACUCUAGGACUUGCAAAUAGAAAUGCCGUGACUGGAAAUCCUUUGUUAAUUCCAUUGAAAACCAUAUCUACUGCAUUUAAUGUCGCGAUGGAUGCUCCCAUGCUAUGCCCUGUUACUGUUAUGCUAACUUCCUCCGUCUUAUAUUGUUCCAUCAAUCUUUCAACUUCUCCAAGUACCUAAUUAUAAAAAAAAAAUUAGAUUAUUAUUGUUAGUAACAGGACAUAUUUAAUUUUUUUUAUUACAUCAUUUACCUGAUCUCUAGCACUGGCUUUAUUGAAUAGUGAUCGCGGAUCAUUUGAAGUAUACAUGGAAUACCAACCGUGAUGAACCUUAGGAUCGGAGUUUUCACCAAAGAUUGUUGGGGCUGAAACGCGAAUAAAUUCAAAAUCAUUAAACCAUUCCAUAGGGACAACAGUUGAUCUCCAAGCAAUCACUAUAUCCCUUCUUCCUAAUGCUACUUCCCCCUCAUCAGUGGCCACAGCAACAAAACCAAUCCAAUUUGACUCUUUACUCCAAGCUUCCCCUGACAAUGAUUUUAUGAUGAAUGCUUCUGGAACUUGUAUAGAUGAUGUCGCGUAUACAUAUUUAGUCACCUCAUACUUGAAUGGAUUCGAUAUCUCAAUCCCCACUUUAGAGAAGAGGUUCUUCUUAGAAUAUCGGCUACAUCCAGCAUACUUUGAUGUCUCGUCAUUGUUGAAGGCAUCUCUAAUUGCUUGUACCAUUUCUCCGUAGUGAAUGAGGUACCUACGAAGAUCAUUGUCAAGUGGAUCUAAUAAGCCUUCCCAAUUGUUGUUCCCACUAAGAACUCUCCAUCUUUCUGCUAUAUUCUUGUUUCCAUUUUGCAUCUUUUCAAUGGUUUCCCUUGGGUUUUUUCUUGGUUUGAAGCAGUUGAAGUACAUUUUCCUCUUGUGAGUUAACUUGAUUUUUUUUUUCUUCCGCUAUAUGUAUGAUGAGGCCAUUUAUUGGUAAUAUAGUUAACAAAUUGCAUCAUUCAUUUAUCAUGAGAAGUUUUGGUGUUGCUUUUUCAUUCUUUCAAUUCCACACUCAAACUGACAUUGCCUAAUUAACAGAAAUGUUAUGGAAAGAAGAAUUAAAGGGACAUUCUUGACAUUUUCACAAGGCAAGAAUUCCAUCUGUUUUGUUUUGAACAAUUUACACUCAUGUUGUUUGUUGGAGAAUAUAUAUUGAAUGUCACUAGCUAUGUGACAUUCAAAAGUUCUUACCCAAUAAUUAUCUAUUUUGGUUUUUAAGAGAAAUCCUUCAUCAACACUAGUCAUUUUAGUAUGUUAAAAAACAAUCUAGGUGAAAUAUUUAAGACUGUUACAUUAAAUAAAAAAUUUGUAAACACCUGAUAUAUUUUUAAUCAUAAGAUCAUAAAAUUCAAAAAAAAAAUUUAAUUUCUUAAAUUUUUUAUCAAAUCAGAAUAAGAUAAACAAAUCAAAAUGAAUGCUACAUUAUAUUUGCUAAAAAAGUCUCACUAGUCUUUCUUUGCUUUGAACUCUUAAGCAUAGUUGCUUAUACUUGGAGCACCAAAUAUUUAAUAUGAAUAACAUAAUCUGAAGUGGGAGGACCCAAAUCAACCCAUUCAUUUGAGUCCUCACACAUUGGAUUCAUUGAUAACUUAACUGGCUAUAGCUCUCGGAAUCACUAGUUUGAUUAUUUUUCAAAUGCAUUACUUUUGUCUCCCUCGCUUAAUUUUAUGUUAUACAAUUUAAAUUUUACGAAGUAACUUUCUUAUUUUGUUUGUGAUUUGAACCUAUGAUCUUGUAAGAGGUAACUUUUUUUAUUUUGAUCAUAAAUUUGAAUAUAUAACCUCAAAGUUUUUUGGAAAAAUAAUUAUACAUUUUAAAAUCAUAUAAAAUAUUAUAAAUUAUAAUAAUUUAAAAUAUUUAAUAGACAUAGGAGUAAAUUGGAUUAAAAAAAAAUUCUUAUUUGACUUUUGAGAAGUUAAAAGUGUCAACAAUAAACAAGGGCAAAAAGAAUAUUAGCAUCCGUUAACUAAAAGAAUUUUCACUUUUCUCCAAAAAAAAUCAUUUCACUGUACGUAUUGUAAAACAACUUUUGAUGAUGAAAAACAAAUCUUAUAUUUUCAUUUUUGUUCACUUCUAUUAUAUUUUUACCCUAAAUAUUUUAUUUUAUAAAAAUCACGCAUUUAAAUUAUAUUUCAUAUAUUUUAGAAAUAGUAACAUUCAAACAACUAAAUAUUAUUUACAAAAUUUAUAACCAAAUUUAACUCCAACUUUAAAAUUUCAAAUUAAAAAAAUAUCUGCAAUAGUACUAAUAGUUCGUUUAUAAGAUCUAAUUAUGUAAUAGUUCGUUUAUAAGAUCUAGUGUACAAUAUUAUGUAACUAUUAAUUUAAGAUAUUAUUCUUUUAGAACACAUUUAAUUGUAUAUUUUAGAUGAAUUGAUUGAGUUGGAUGAUUUAUCCCUUUUUUUAAAAUAGGAGGUGUAAAUCAUAAAAUUUUAAAUAUCUUUUACAAAAAGUACAUAAUCAAACACAAUUUUAUUUUUCAAAUACCAAACAAAAUAAUUUUUUUUAAAAAAAAAUUUCUGGCCAAAUGCCCCACUAUAUAUUUUCAAGAAAAGUUGAAGGGCUAUGACCCACUACUCUGACUAAUUAACUUUUUUCACAUCUUAUUAGGAUAUUUUUUUAUUUUAUUUGUGGAGUAUAAACAAAUUUUUUUUUUUUUUUAAAAAAUAUGUUAUUUUUAAUGUAUCAAAUUAAAUAUGAUAUAUAUAUAUAAAAAAAAUCUCAAUGAUAACUGAUAUUUCCAUUAUUACACUUUAUUUAACACAAUUCUCAUUCAUACUCUACUCCCUAAUUGUGGUCAUCCUCGUGAUCCAUAAGAAUCCAAGAUCCAUUUUCGUGUUGAACCAUUCCUUUAUUCUUCUCGAUCCACCACGACGCUGGCACUCCAUAUUCAUCCUUCAACACAUCAUCUGCUUUAUUCAUAAGAGCAAUAUCCCGAUUCAUCUCCAACUUGAACUCUCCUUCGAAUCCAUGGGUUCCAGCGAUUCCGUGCAAAUAAACCUCCAAAAUAUGACCAUUUAUCUCUUUCUUCAAGUAGUCUGAUUUUGUAGUAUCAAUGGAAAGUUCAAACCCAACAUCUUCAUACACUCUCCAAUCUGUUUCACAACCCUCCACCUGUCCACGAUCUGGCAGCUUCGUAAUCAGAUCAGAGGCAUUGGUAAUCCUCAAAAUGUGCAAGUUUUUCAAAUUUUCACAAGCUUUUUUGAAAUUGAUCUCUCCAACUCGUGGGCUAGCAAAUAAAAAUGCAGUCACUGGAAACCCCUUAUUGACUUGGCUGACAGCUAUGUCGAUUGCGCAUAGUGUGGCUAAUGAUGAACCCAAGCUGUGUCCUGUAACACUGAUGCUAACUUCCUCCUUUUUGUAUUGAUCCAUCAACCUUUUAACUUCUUCAAGAACCUGUUUGAAUGUAAAAAUUACAAAAGGGAAUUUUAAUGAAUAUCACCUGUGAAGAUAUAAAAAGAAAAACAGCCGUACCUGAUCUCUAGCACUGGUUGUUCGAUUGAAAUUUGAAGCGUGAUUAAGAGAAGUAUAAAUUGAAUAAAAACCUUUGUGUACAAGAAUAUUAUCCGUAUUUUCUCUAAAGAUUUCGAUUGGUUGAACCAUAGACGAUUCGAAAUCGUCAUUCCAUUCAGAGACAGUUAUAGUCCCUCUCCAAACAAUUAAAAUGUCUCUCCUCCCUAAUGCAACUUUACCUUCAUCAGUAGCAACAGCAACAAACCCGAUCCAAUUCGAUACUUUGACCUUUUCGGUUUUACUUGAAGCUCCAUAGAAAUAUUUGGUGAUUUCAUAUUUGUUUCUAUGGAGACCAACCCUUGUGAAGAGGUUCUUUUUGGAGUAUCGACUUGUUCCUCUGUAUUUUGAAACUUUCUCAUUAUUAAAUGAGUCGUAGAUGGCUUGGGGCAUUUGGCCAUAGUGAAUGAGGUAUC
rnacentral:lncRNA from 1 species